rnacentral:rRNA from 1 species
UACGUAGGGUGCAAGCGUUGUCCGGAAUUAUUGGGCGUAAAGAGCUCGUAGGCGGUUUGUUGCGUCGGCUGUGAAAUCCCGAGGCUCAACCUCGGGUCUGCAGUCGAUACGAGCAAACUAGAGUGUUGCAGGGGAGACUGGAAUUCCUGGUGUAGCGGUGAAAUGCGCAGAUAUCAGGAGGAACAUCGGUGGCGAAGGCGGGUCUCUGGGCAACAACUGACGCUGAGGCUCGAAAGCGUGGGGAGCAAACAGG